CACAUGACAAGCAGGCAUGAGGUGAAGGUGACGACUUGUUGCUUUGUUCAAUCUUUCUAAUUCACACCCGAGCAGUUUGGUCAACGGUAUGAUCUUCAAGAUUGAUGGGCUAUUCUUCCAGUUGGUGACUUGAUCUUUUAAGGAUUUGAUUCAAGGGUGGUGAAUCGGCACGUGCAGCGCACAACGCCUAGUAAGCCGACCCAAGAAUUUGAGGGUCAAAACGGAUUCGCCGUCAGAGUGAUUGCAACUUUGAUGAUAUGAGAUACUCUUGCUUUUGAAGAAGUAGCGGAUGAAUCAGC
rnacentral:lncRNA from 1 species